CUAAGCUUUUAAGAGAUGUUAAGGUUUUUUUCACCAAAGACAUUAAUUUGGAAAGAAAAGGGUCGCCCAUUUCUCCCUCGACCUGGACGAAGGCAAAUGAGAGAAUUCUAUGUUAUCUUGGGUUCUGUAGAGACACGCUUCAUUACAAAGACAUCAGCCCAGAUCUAUUUUUAAGAACACGGUUACUCGAAAGGUAUCUGGAUUAUUUAAAGACGGACAGGAAGCUUGCAUCGUCUACCCUAGCCAAUCACGCUGCCUCCUUGAUCUACCCAGCAAAAUUCUUGAACCGAGAACACGCCGUCACCCUCUACAGGGAUGUCAAAGUCGUUUCGCAGCUGAGGGGUGCCUGCAAU